AUUCCAGACUACCUCGGUGGGAGUCUACGGACCCAUUCCAGAGUCUUAUGUAUGAAGACAAAAAGAGAGGGGCUUCUGCUGCUUCCACGAAGUUAUGAGCUGGCAGAGCCUUAAGGUUUAUUCUGGAUUGAGCUGCUGUUGCUGAUUCAGGCCUUUGCCCGUUUCUUGGUAACAUUGAUGGAGCAGGUGCCAUUAAGUGGAGGUCCCACUGAGAUUGGGAAACAAAGGAGUCCCUGAAGUAAUGUCGUGGAAGGCCGGCCAGCAGAUUUUUCAUCUAAGAAGCUGUUGGGGACCAGAGGACUCUGCCUUAGUUGUACGGGUCCCUGGCAUAGUCCCACUGCCCAUGGAACAUUCAGGAGCGAACCAACUGGUCCUGACCGACACAAGAGGGAUUUUGGCAUCACUGCUGCGAUUAUUACAGCUAUUGCUGCCGUGGCUACUGCAGCCACUGUUUCUGGCAUUGUAUUUCUCAAUCUUUUGUCGUGGCAAGCAUGGUGGACAAACUUUCUGGGGAAGUAGUAGACGCUCUUUCCACUCAAAAUAAUUUAAAUUCUAUCAUUCAAUUGGGAAUUUUAAAUCUGAAUCAACAAACAGCACUUUUAAAGGAACAACUUGAUUUAUUGUGGGAAGCACAUAUGGCUUCCUGCUCCCCUAUUUUUCAUACAUUUGUGUGACCCCUGCUAGAGUUUAUAAUGCUAUAGCAGCCCUGAAACAAUUAAAUCAUUAUUUAAAGGGUCUUUGGAAUGAAAAGUUUACAAAUUUUGCCACUCAAUUGGCUAAUCAAAUUAUUCAAAUUAAUGAAAGAUGAGUUCCCCUAGCUUCAGGGGACUCUUUACUUAGGGGACCAAAGUUUGCAGUACAAUUGUUAAAAUGACGGGUAAGAUAAACACUGACAUCCAUGAGUCACCUAAGACAGGUGCUAGUUAAAAAAUAAAAAGGGGGAAUUGUUGGGUCCUGGUCCCCUCUCUAAGAUGAAUUGUUCUGCUAAUUGGUCGCCCAAGGCAUCAGCACACUGUGUUUUUAGCCAAACCACAAUAUCCCUGAGUCAUUUCCUGCCUGGCCUAAGAAAACAAUGAACUUGUAAACAGGGUACUUUUCCACUGUCCUUCUGGGUUUUUCCAUUCCGUUUGGCCAGUAUAUACAUUGGAGCUAAGUUCCUAAGUAAAGUAGCAUUCUAUUCUCACGAA